GAUGAGCAUCAAAGACAGAAAGAUGGCAGGUCACGUGCUCCACAAGGAGCACGUUUUGCACUAACACCACAAGAGUCUGGCUCAAUGAAUGGGGAUUGAUAGUAGUUUAAAUGU
rnacentral:snoRNA from 1 species